rnacentral:lncRNA from 1 species
UUUUUUUUUUUUUUUUUAAAUGAAGUGACUGUGCCCAAAGGAGGAGGGCAUUGUUAAAGAGCAGAUCAUGGCUAUUAAUAAGUCGGAUGGGAGAACUAACAGCUUAAAGGAUUCAUAGCUUUGUAGCCAUACACCAGACCUGCACAGGCAUCCUGGUCAAUGCCUAGGCCCAGGUCGCAUGGCAUAGCUAUUAGGUAAGAGAGAUGGGCUCUAACGGAAGCUACAUUGGCUCAGAUUUCUUCAGCUUGUUCUGUUCACAGUGAAGCUGGUCUGUUUAAACACUAGCAUCUUGUCAUUGCUCAGGCCAGCAAGUGGCACUUGAAGCUCCAGGAGUCAGCUACUCCAUGAUAUUUCUAUGCUCCUGCCAUUUGGUCAUGUGAAUAGUUGACUUCCCUGCAAGGCACAGGAGGUGGCCAGGUCUCUGUGUGGCCUUUUUCUGCAAAGGCUGAGUGAGGCCGAGAGAGUCCCUCAACAUCUGCCUGCAGAACCUUCGUCAGCACUCAGCCUCUUUGCUGUGUCCCUCUGGGCCAGAGUCCUGAGAGUCACACUGGCCAGCUCCCAGGACCCAUGCAUUCACACUGCUGACAAUACUGCCUGUAUUUGACAGGUUGGAAAAAUGCUUGAGGGAAAGGUUAAAUAAAUUAAAGCCUUCAGCUUUAUACAUGUAUAAACAAAAGCUUUUCCUGGUAUUAAAAGAACCUCCCUUUUUGAGCAUUAAUCAGUAUUAAUGGUAUUCUUUUGGUCGGGUUACAUUAUUAUUUAAAAAAGUAACCAUGACUUAAGAAAUGAGUGUUGAUGGCCGACAUUUCUGCCUUUCAUUUUAAUGUGUAAUCUAAAAUGGCAGCUUAUUUUAAAGGGUGCUUUUGGUUAUAAGAAUGUUUACUAUGUUGUGAUAAUCCUCUUUCAGCAUAAUUUCUGUAACGACAAAACAAGAAUCCAGAAUUUUAGGGUCGAUAAUAGUCUAGAGAAUAAACAUCUAAUGUGAAUGUUUCCAAUUUGGUGUGCCUGUUUUUCAAACAAGGUCAUGAACUCUGGUAAAUUAAUCUAGAUACAAAUAGCUUCGAUAACCACAGAGUUUAUGUGAGCGGUGAUAGUAGACUAAUGAGCUAAUCCAUUAGCAGCCUACUCCAACCUCUGAUGCCUUAGCCCAAUUGCUUUCUCUGUCUGAAUUAGUUUUCUUGCUUCUUGUAGUGAGUGCAAUAAUUUCUGUUUAUCACAAGGGUUAGUCUGUUUUAAUUAUAGCAAUUUUUCUGAGUACUUAUCUUUCUAACUUUGUACUAUAGAAACCUCGAAGCCCACGUAAGUAGAGAGGAUAAUGUAACAGAUUCACCCUUGAUUCAGUGAUUAUCAGUUGUCCAAAAUGCACAUUUUAAAUGUUCUGUGUGUGGCAGGGCUGUAAACAUUAGUGACUGCAGCCCAGUUAGAAGAAGAUGGUCAGAAUCCAUGGUAGGGGAAUGGGAGGGACCUCAGGACAGCAUUUUGUUGACUAUUUCCCAUAUUUAAUGGUAUUUAGUUUGUCUCAGAGGAUAUCUUUAUCCAUAAAUAUUGCUUAUUUGUAUUUUCUAGGCUAACAAAGGAAACAUUUACAAACCAGGGAGGCCUGGAUACUUUCAGUCUCCUAGGAAGAUUUUAUUAUAGUCUGGCAACUUGGCAAAUAGGGCUUUGUCCUAAAAGUUCAAGGUUAAUGGUUUGCUGAAUGGAUAUACCUUUAUUGGAAUUAUGUUAGAAAUGUUAGCUGUUACAGCUGACAAACCUCGAGAUCUCACUGGUGUAACACAAUGAAAAUUCAUCUUACCAAGGUACCACUUGCUCCUCCCAUUCCUCCCCCUUCCCCAUUCCCUUCCCGCUUCUCUCUUCAUGAGCUUGUGGCCAGCCUCUACUCCUCUACUCCUCUACUCUCUCUCCCUCUCUGCCUUUCUCUGCCUCUGCUACCCUCUUAACUCCCCUACCCAUGCCCUGAAUAAACUCUAUUCUAUACCAUUCCAUCGUGUGACUGGUCCUCCGUACCUCACCACACCUCCAUAGAACGCCCCCACCCCCCUUAUCUUUUUAUAAACACAUCACAAUCCACAGAACUCAAAGGUUAAGAAGCAGAAGGGGCCAAGUGAGCAUGCUUCAAUUCUACCAGGGAGGGAGAAGAAAGCAAUCAAGGGAGGCAGAGGAGGGAGGGACCUGAGUGGGAGAGGGCGGGGGGAGGGGAAAGGGGAACAUGAUCAGGUUUAGGGGCAAGGAGACAGGAGAGAAGAAGCCCCAAGGGCCAGCAGAAUGAGUGGAAAUAUGCAACCUCAGGGUGAGGGGAUGGGAGAUGGGGUGACCCUCUAGAAAGUACCAGGGACCUGCCUU